UGUGGCAGGACAGACAUGUCUUUCUGUAUACAAGGAAUUGGCCUGAAGGGUUGAAGGGUUGAAGCGGAUGGCCAGUAGUCAGAUGGCAACCGUUGCGACGGCGUUUUCCCACAUGUGCAUGAUCAUUGAAUGCAGAAGUAGCGAAGCGCUGUAGUUUUUAAAGACUUGUUCUUGUUGUGCUCUUCACACUUUCGGCGUUUUAGUUGAAUGCGGCUGAGAACAUAAUGC
rnacentral:ribozyme from 1 species